UUCGAGCGAACUGAUUAGAAAGCUUGCUUCUAUGACGUUAGCGGCGGACGGGUGAGUAACACGUGGGCAACCUGCCUGUAAGACUGGGAUAACUUCGGGAAACCGAAGCUAAUACCGGAUAGGAUCUUCUCCUUCAUGGGAGAUGAUUGAAAGAUGGUUUCGGCUAUCACUUACAGAUGGGCCCGCGGUGCAUUAGCUAGUUGGUGAGGUAACGGCUCACCAAGGCAACGAUGCAUAGCCGACCUGAGAGGGUGAUCGGCCACACUGGGACUGAGACACGGCCCAGACUCCUACGGGAGGCAGCAGUAGGGAAUCUUCCGCAAUGGACGAAAGUCUGACGGAGCAACGCCGCGUGAGUGAUGAAGGCUUUCGGGUCGUAAAACUCUGUUGUUAGGGAAGAACAAGUACAAGAGUAACUGCUUGUACCUUGACGGUACCUAACCAGAAAGCCACGGCUAACUACGUGCCAGCAGCCGCGGUAAUACGUAGGUGGCAAGCGUUAUCCGGAAUUAUUGGGCGUAAAGCGCGCGCAGGCGGUUUCUUAAGUCUGAUGUGAAAGCCCACGGCUCAACCGUGGAGGGUCAUUGGAAACUGGGGAACUUGAGUGC
rnacentral:rRNA from 1 species